rnacentral:lncRNA from 1 species
UAUAAGGAUGUGUGUUUUACUCUCUACCAUCACAAUGUUACAUAAAUCAACUUUGCCUUUCGUUUCAACAAUAUCAAACACAUUCACAAACAAGUUAACAUCACAAGGACUUUUUGAAGCUUGUAUUGUGGCUGAGCUACGAAGAAAAAUUGGUUUUUCUAGACAACAAAGCACCUUGAGCUAAGAGAGAAAUCAAUUUACUUCAUGUAGCAUUAGUCUCUCUUUUCACUUCACAAUAUGAUAAACCACUUCUCAACUUAUUUUCCAACUCUUGUUUAUUGAAUGCAUUUUUCUUUCUCUUCUUCUUCUUUCUUCUUUUUCUUUCUUUUUGACUCAUGUUAUUAUUUUCUCAAUGCUCCCUUUUGUCAUAAACUCCCCCAAACUUAAACCAUUCUCCUCAUCCUAACAUAUAUGUUCAUCUCAACUCAACGUAAGGAGGUCAAGGAUGUUUCAUUAAGCUUAAGGUUCCACAAAUGAGAAAGUUUUCAUCAAGGUUCAAAGGUUAUGCAUUGGCUUUUAGGCUAAAAAAUGUAGAAGAGGUUGAAGAACAAGAUGGCCUUGAUCAUUUGUAACAAGCAAGCAAAUAGUUCAAACAGAGAAACUCAGGCAAAAUCAACUGUGACCCAACAUGAUAGCAUUCAACAAUACAAUCUGAGGUACAACAUCUCACAGUUUAACUCAGGGUUCCAAAAUU